UAUUUUCCUGGCAGACCCAACCACCCAUCUCCCGACCGGCCGACCCCAAUCCGCAUGGAGGCAUAGGGCCGGCCGGCCGCUGCGCACGCAAGCCGCCGCCCGCCGCCAGAAAGCGCCCGAGCCGGCGCGCCAGCCCUCAACCGCCCGAGCGAGCAGGAGCGGCCCGAACGACGGCCAGGUGGAGCGGAGUUGGGAGCGGCCUGUGGCCUGUGGGAGUGCGGGCGAGCAGCGAGCCGGCGAUGGAGUGAAGAGGAGGAGCAGCGCAAGGUACAGCAACCCAGAGCUAGGGCUAACUGCUGCCACGGAUAGGUCAACGGUAGAGAGGGGUAGCAGCUCCUCAGCAACUGGAUUUGGUCAAGGCCAAGGUGCAAGCAGUGAAGCAGAGCCAAAGGUGACAGUUUCCCAUAUCCUCCAAGCACUUGCCUGCAGUGACAGAUCACUUGUCAACUCCAUUGGAUUUAAUGGGUGCACCAUCACAAAUAUUUGUUGGGAAGUCAAAACCCUUCUCCACUGCCAAAACCUUGUGCCCUGAACACAAAUAUAUCCUUUCAAUUCCAAUCCCACGACUCUCCCAUUGCCAUAUUCCCCUCCUCCUCUCUCAAUCAAUUGUUUCAGGUCUUCUCCUCAAGCUCCCCCUUGUCCACUCUGUCCUCCGAUCUCUCUCCUUGGGGCCUUUCCCAUCUCUAUCCCUCUCCUUCCUCUCCCUGCUCCGCCACUCUGGAUAUGUGACCCUCGAUAACUAUUCCCUCAACAUUGCUUUCUCUGCCACUUCCCGCCUCCCAUCUGUUUCUGUUGGUGCCCAGCUUCAUUCCCUUUCUGUCAAACUUGGCUUGGUUUCAGAUACAUUUGUCCUUAAUUCUCUUAUCAACAUGUACUCAUCUUGUAGCUAUCCAGCUACUGCAAGACAAGUUCUCGAUUCUGCUCCUCAAGGAGCUUGUGACACAGUUUCUUGGAACACCAUAAUUUCUGGAUACCUACGAGGUGGGAUGCCUAAUAAAGCUUUGCAGGCUUUUGGCCAGAUGGUCAAGGAGCAAGUUACUCUGGAUGAUGUCACAUUGCUGAAUGCACUUGUUGCUUCUGCCAAGGCAGGCAAAGUGAAGGUAGGGAGGCUGUGUCACAGUUUAGUUGUGGUGAACGGGGCUGGAAUUAAUUGUUAUAUGGGUUCCUCUCUGAUUAGUAUGUAUGCCAAGUGUGGAUUGGUUGAGGAUGCCCGCAAGGUAUUUCAUGGAAUGCAUGAGAGAAACGUGGUUUGCUGGACAUCAAUGAUUUCUGGGUACACACAGUUGGGUAAGUUUAAAGAGGCUGUCAACCUUUUUAGGGACAUGCAAAUUACUGGAAUGAAGGUUGAUGAUGGGACAAUUGCUACUGUUGUGUCUUCAUGUGCCCAAAUGGGAGCACUUGACUUGGGACGAUAUGUUCAUGCCUACUGUGAUGUUCAUGGUUUAGGGAAGGAGCUUUCUGUGAAGAAUUCACUGAUUGAUAUGUACUCAAAGUGUGGGGAUAUAAACAAGGCUCAUGAGAUAUUCUGUGGAUUGACCAAGCGAGAUGUGUUUUCUUGGACGGCAAUGAUAAUGGGCUUUACUGUUAAUGGCCUCUGUAGUGAAGCACUAGAUUUGUUUGCUCAGAUGGAAGGAGAGGGUAAGGUUAUGCCAAAUGAGGUCACUUUUUUGGGUGUCCUUACUUCUUGUAGCCAUGGAGGGUUAGUGGAACAAGGGUUCCAUUACUUUCAGCGUAUGUCCAUGGUCUACAAGCUUGCACCGAGGAUUGAACACUAUGGAUGCAUGGUUGAUCUCUUGGGCCGUGCAAAGCUAUUGACAGAGGCAGAACAAUUUAUUAAAAAUAUGCCUAUUGCCCCAGAUGUAGUAGUAUGGCGGUCUUUGUUGUUUGCCUGCAGAGCUUGUGGAGAGGUGGGACUUGCAGAAUUUGUAGCAGAAAGGAUCCUAGAAUUGGAGCCAAAAAAGUGUGCAGGACAUGUUUUACUUUCUAAUGUCUAUGCUACCACAUCAAGGUGGGUUGAUGUGAAUGAGUUGCGGACAUCUAUGGACAAUAGUAGGAUGAGUAAGCAACCUGGUUGCUCUUUCAUUGAAGUGGAUGGAUGUGUGCAUGAGUUCUUUGCAGGAGAUGAAUCACACCUUGAGACAGAAGCUAUAUAUAACAUUCUUUUGGGGAUCAGUGAGCUAUUAGUAGCAGAGUCCUUACUCAUAUGAAAGAUUGGAACUUUACAACCAUCUGGUGGUGUGUGGCCACUGGCUUGUUGGGCUAUGCUAAUCAUUGGAAUAUAAACAAGCAGGAGGUCUGAUUAACAGAAGUUUUUUAAUUGUUCCCAAAUUGGAGGAUUCACCUGAAGGGAGUUAUGGAUCGGAAGAAUCAAACUCCUCAAGGGAUUGGUAGAGAGGGUUGUGGUCAUCUUCUAUGACAAAGAGCAUGUACCAAUUGAGAAGUUUGUCUUCAAGCUUGCAGUCAACCAAUCAUAUUGUUCCAAGUUAGAGGAGGCAAACCUGGAGUUUGCUCUGCG